GGGCGGCUGGCGCAAUGGUAGCGCGUUGCUCUCCUAUCUCAUUCGAUGAAGAGCGCCAAGCAAAGGUUGCAAGUUCGAGUCUUGCGUCGCUCG